UACGUAGGGUGCAAGCGUUAAUCGGAAUUACUGGGCGUAAAGCGUGCGCAGGUGGUUAUACAAGACCGACGUGAAAUCCCCGGGCUCAACCUGGGAAUGGCGUUGGUGACUGUAUGACUAGAGUGUGGCAGAGGGGGGUGGAAUUCCACGUGUAGCAGUGAAAUGCGUAGAGAUGUGGAGGAACACCGAUGGCGAAGGCAGCCCCCUGGGCUAACACUGACACUCAUGCACGAAAGCGUGGGGAGCAAACAGG
rnacentral:rRNA from 1 species